rnacentral:rRNA from 1 species
GAUGAACGCUGGCGGCGUGCCUAAUACAUGCAAGUCGAGCGAACAGACGAGGAGCUUGCUCCUCUGACGUUAGCGGCGGACGGGUGAGUAACACGUGGAUAACCUACCUAUAAGACUGGGAUAACUUCGGGAAACCGGAGCUAAUACCGGAUAAUAUAUUGAACCGCAUGGUUCAAUAGUGAAAGACGGUUUUGCUGUCACUUAUAGAUGGAUCCUCGCCGCAUUAGCUAGUUGGGAAGGUAACGGCCUACCAAGGGAACCAUGCGUAGGCGACCUGAGAGGGUGGUCGGCCACCCGGGAAGUGAGACACGGACCAUACGACUGCGGGAGGCAGCAGUAGGGAAUCGUCCGCAAUGGGCGAAAGCCUGACGGAGCAACGCCGCGUGAGUGAUGAAGGUCUUCGGAUCGUAAAACUCUGUUAUUAGGGAAGAACAAAUGUGUAAGUAACUAUGCACGUCUUGACGGUACCUAAUCAGAAAGCCACGGCUAACUACGUG